rnacentral:rRNA from 1 species
CAAUAGCGUAUAUUAAAGUUGUUGCGGUUAAAACGCUCGUAGUCGGAUUUCGGGGCGGGUCCGCCGGUCUGCCGAUGGGUACGCACUGGCGGGCGCGUCCUUCCUUCCGGAGACUGGCCCUACUCUUAGCUGAGCGGGGUCGGGAGUCGGAUCGUUUACUUUGAAAAAAUCAGAGUGUUUCAAGCAGGCAGCUCGCUCUUGCAUGGAUUAGCAUGGGAUAAUGAAAUAGGACUUUGGUGCUAUUUUGUUGGUUUCGAACACCGAAGUAAUGAUUAACAGGGACAGUCAGGGGCACUCGUAUUCCGCCGAGAGAGGUGAAAUUCUCAGACCAGCGGAAGACGAACCACUGCGAAAGCAUUUGCCAGGGAUGUUUUCACUG